AGAGUUUGAUCCUGGCUCAGAAUCAACGCUGGCGGCGUGCCUAACACAUGCAAGUCGAACGAGAAAGGGUAGCAAUACCUGAGUAAAGUGGCGCACGGGUGAGUAACACGUGACUAACCUACCUUUUAGUGGGGGAUAACCUAGGGAAACCUGGGCUAAUACCGCAUAAUACCUACGGGUCAAAGCAGCAAUGCGCUGAAAGAGGGGGUCGCGGUCGAUUAGUUAGUUGGCAGGGUAAUGGCCUACCAAGACUGUGAUCGAUAUCCGGCCUGAGAGGGCGCACGGACACACUGGAACUGAAACACGGUCCAGACUCCUACGGGAGGCAGCAGUGGGGAAUUUUGCGCAAUGGGGGAAACCCUGACGCAGCAACGCCGCGUGGAGGAUGAAGUCCCUUGGGACGUAAACUCCUUUCGAUCGGGACGAUAAUGACGGUACCGGAAGAAGAAGCCCCGGCUAACUUCGUGCCAGCAGCCGCGGUAAUACGAGGGGGGCAAGCGUUGUUCGGAAUUAUUGGGCGUAAAGGGUGCGUAGGUGGUUCGGCAAGUCUUGUGUGAAAUCCUCAGGCUCAACUUGAAGUCUGCACAAGAAACUGCCGGGCUUGAGUAUGGGAGAGGUGAGUGGAAUUUCCGGUGUAGCGGUGAAAUGCGUAGAUAUCGGAAGGAACACCUGUGGCGAAAGCGGCUCACUGGACCAUUACUGACA
rnacentral:rRNA from 1 species